GUGUCAGCCGCCGCGGUAAGACAGAGGGUGCAAGCGUUAAUCAGAAUGAUUGGGCGUAAAGGGCGUGUAGGUGGUAAUCCAGGUUUGGUGUGAAAGCUCGGCUCAACCGAGAAAGGGCAUCAAAUACCAGAUUACUAGAGUGAGAGAGAGGACUGCGGAACUUUCGGUGUAGCGGUGAAAUGUGUAGAUAUCGAAAGGAACACCAGUGGCGAAGGCGGCAGUCUGGCUCUAUACUGACACUGAGGCGCGAAGGCGUGGGGAGCAAACAGGAUUAGAUACCCCAGUAGUCC
rnacentral:rRNA from 1 species